rnacentral:rRNA from 1 species
AACGAACGCUGGCGGCAUGCCUAACACAUGCAAGUCGAACGAGACCUUCGGGUCUAGUGGCGCACGGGUGCGUAACGCGUGGGAACCUGCCCUUAGGUUCGGAAUAACUCCCCGAAAGGGGUGCUAAUACCGGAUAAGUUCUUCGGACCAAAGAUUUAUCGCCUUUGGAUGGGCCCGCGUUGGAUUAGCCUGUUGGUAGGGUAAGAGCCUACCAAGGCGACGAUCCAUAGCUGGUAAGAGAGGAUGAGCAGCCACUCUGGGACUGGGACGCGGUCCAGACUCCUGCGGGAGGCAGCAGUGGGGGAUAUUGGACAGUGGGCGAUAGGAUGAUCCAGCUAGGCCGCGUGAGUGAUGAAGGCCUUAGGGUUGUAAAGCUCGUUUACCCGGGAGGAUAAUGACGGUACCGGGAGAAUAAGCUCCGGCUAACUCCGUG